AACGAACGCUGGCGGCGUGUUUAAGCCAUGCAAGUCGCACGGUGUCAUUUUGGUAGCAAUACUUGAAUGGCAUAGUGGCGCACGGGUGAGUAACACGUGAAUUACAUGCCCUGUAGAGGGGGAUAGCCCCGGGAAACUUGGAUUAAUACCCCAUGGUCUCGCAAGAGCAAAGGUGGCCGCCAGUCUGCCGCUACAGGAUCGGUUCGCGCGCUAUCAGCUUGUUGGCGGGGUAACGGCCCACCAAGGCUACGCGGGGUACCUGGGCUGAGAGGACGAUCAGGACCACCGGAACUGAGACAAGGUCCAGACACCUACGGGUGGCAGCAGUCGAAAAUAAUUCACAAUGGGGGCAACCCUGAUGGUGCAACGCCGCGUGGAGGAUGACGGUCUUCGGAUUGUAAACUCCUGUCAUCCGGGAGUAAGACCUGGGAGUUAAUAGCUCACAGGGUUGAUAGUACCUGAAGAGGAAGGGACGGCUAACUUCGUGCCAGCCGCCGCCGUAAAAC
rnacentral:rRNA from 1 species